rnacentral:lncRNA from 1 species
ACUUCUAAAACAAUAUGAUUGUCAAUUAGAAGAUCUUCCAAAAUUUUCAUAACUCCAUAAGAUGUAGUUGGAAAAGAAAGACAAAUCUUAAGCAUGUUAAAGAUUUGGGGUUGUGUGCUAAACUAGCAAUAUUUGUUUGAUAACAAUCUUGUAGGAUAUCCUUAAAAUAACUUUUGGAUAUCGCUUCUAUAAACCAACUAACAAAGGUUGUUUUGUUAGGUAGUUCAUUGUAAUCCUACAAUGUGAUUUGCCUAAGAUGCAAAUGAACGAGAGAUAGAACUCAAAGAAUGGGUUCUUUGAGAGACAAGAAAGUAAUCAACAAAUAUAACAACCUAGUUCCUAUACCACAAGCUCCAAGGUAGUCGAUAAGAAUGAAAAUCCUUAUGACUACAUUGAGUGCAUAUACGAUAUAUACUCAAGAAAAUGGUAAAGUACCAUUUGACUCGAAAUAAUGAAACCUUCAAGGUAGUCGAUAGCUUAAGGUGACUACAAUCAAAGAGAAUGGUUGACUUUGAAGAAACCAUCUUUGAGAUAGUCUUGGUUUCAAUUAAUUCGAAUAUUGCUAGCUACAACUAAAUGGUGAUUCAAUGUUUUGACAUAAUAUGGGUUUCCGAAACCAUUAUU